ACUUCCGAGGGGCGGCGCGAACGGCAAUGGCGGUCCUCUUCUGAACGGGAGAGGAGGCUCCGCAGAAAACGGGUCGUCCGCUACGGCGAAGCGGAGACCCACUCCGGAAAACCCCAGGCAGCAAGAGCUUGGGGUCCUGAGGCUCGGUGGGCGCCUUAAGUGACCCUCCAAACGCAGAAGGAACCUCGUAAGGGGCUCCGGAGCGUGGAGGGGGGUUGCGGCGCUGAGAGCUGCUUCACAGUCUGCGGAGUGAAGCCGCGCUGCUGCUGCCGGUGAGCGCUGAUCCUUUUUCCUGCUAAAACACGGAUUCGGACGAAAAGCAACUUACUCGUGAGUAAAGACUGAAUCACUUGAAAUCAGAGACUUUAUAUGAAAAACCUUAAAUUGGCUUGAACUUGGCUGAAAGCGGAGAGACGUGGAAACAGGAAGUCCGUCUUCCGCAGCCAUUGAACUUGAAAAAAGCAACUAAGUUGGAGGAGUGGAGGCUGAAAGGAAGAGAUUUUAAACUUUACAGAUCUAAGCAUCUACUGAACCUGCAAUUUAAAGUAAAGACUUUAAGCUAAAGACUUGGAAUUUUAACUUGCACUUGACAUUUCCCCUUUUAUUGGAUUAUAAAUUAGAAGGUGAAACCCAGAGUCAGGAGCUGCCUGAGCAUUGAGAAAUUGAGCUGUCAGUAUUGCAGAUUUGGAUACUGUAUAUUGGAACUUGCAACAAUCUGAGGGUAUUGAGACUUUUUAAAUUUGAAACAUUCUUUUUGGAGAUAAAUAAGCACUGUCUGUAACAAAGUGACUACUUAUAAACUCUGCUAAAUAUUUAUAUUUGAAGGUUCUUGGACAUUAAAUUAGACUCUGAAAGACAUUUUAAGCUCCCUCUAGAGGACUGGAUGAAAACAGUGACUUUACAUUUACAUUUACUUUCGAUUCCCUUGUUGUUUACUUGCUCUGGGCCUUUCUAUUCCCAUGGGAAAAACUCAGUGUGACCUUGACUGAUAGACAACGUUGGAAUGAGUGGCACAAGGAAAAGAGGGAGAGUUAGACAAACAACUUUAACAACUCUAACCUCAGCCUCGCAGACACGUAGAUCAUCUGUACCUACUUUGCCCUCAGAAGUAGAACUUGAAGAAGUUGCCUUGCCACAGGCAAAAGAGGGAGAGGGUGAAGCAGAGCAGUUACAAUUGGAAGAUAUGGCCUCAGGAGUAUCUGUUUCUGUUCUAGACAAAAUCUUUGAAAAAUUGGAAGCUUUGGACAAGAAAGUAGAUGCGCAAUCAGCAAAGAUUGACAAAAAUACAGAAUGUCUAAAUAAAUUAACCAUACAAGUUGUACAGAAUACACAAGCAAUUGGACAGUUAACGGAGGCCUCAGCAGAAAAUCGGAAAUUGGCUGAGGAUACUAGACAAAAAUUGGAAAAUUUAGAGCAAGAGGUAAGGCCACUCACCAAACAAGUUGGGGAACAUCAGACUUAUCUUUCCAUGAUAGAAUUGCGAAAUCGUGAGAAUAAUUUGAGGAUUAGAUCAUUACAAGAGGCAGAAGAAGGAAAUUUAACUGAGUUUUUGACCAAAGAAUUUUCCAAGUUCUGGAAUUUGGAAGAAAAGGAUUUUAAAAUUGUGUCGGCUUUCAGACUUGGAAGAUUCACAAAGAAGGAGAGGCCCAGAGACUGUUUGAUUACAUUGAGAUCAAAGGAGGAAAGGGAUAAGAUUUUGGGCCUACAUUACGGAAAGUCACUGGAGGUUUUGGACAGAAGAAUUGAAAUUUAUAAAGAUAUUCCAAGACAACUGCUGGAUCUUAGAGCCGCCUAUUCUGAACUUGCUAAACUACUAAGGAGCAACGCAAUUCCAUUCAGGUGGGAAUUUCCACAAGGAAUAUCUUUUACCUUUAAAGGGAGAAAGGUCAAAGUUAGAACAUUGGAAGAGAGAGACAAAUUUUUGGCUACAUACGGAGAGGACCUUCAAAAGGAACUGAAUUACCCUCUGGGCCUGGGGCAACGCCAGCAUUAACACCAGCACCUGGGGAACUUGAAGAUCCAGAGAAGACACCACCCCUGGAGAAAUAACCAGAUAGAUCCAGGAUGUCUCUGCAAUUGCUGAGUUGGAACAUUAAUGGUUGUAACAUUCCGGAAAAAAGGAAGAAAAUAUUUCAUAUAUUAAAAAAAGAACAAUUGGACAUUAUCUGUUUACAAGAAACACAUGUGACGAGGCUCCACAGAAAAGUGUUAAUAAAUAAAAGAUUGGGCCAGGAAUUUGUUUCGUCGGACAAAGUUAAGAAGAGAGGCGUGGUGAUAUAUGCAAAGAGAGCCUGUCACCUAAAUUCUUAUUUAAAGAUGAACAUGGAAGAAUUUUGGCCAUUGAGAUACAAUAUCAAGGAGAGAAACUGUUGAUAUUAGGAAUCUAUGCACCUAACGAAGGGAAAUCGGAAUUUUACAAGAAGCUGCAGGGGACAAUGCUGGAAUAUCUGGAUUACAACAACAUCAUAAUGAUGGGAGACAUGAACGGGGUCGUGUCAACUAAUAUGGACAAGUCACAAAGUCAAAAUGUUACAAAAGACGGCAGACUACCUAAAACUUUUUUUGAAAUGACUGACAAUAUGGAUUUGAUUGACAUUUGGAGGACAAAGAACCCACUAGGUAGAGAAGGAACAUUCUUUUCUGAAGCCCAACUGACCUGGACAAGAAUCGACCAAAUAUGGAUUUCCAGAGGCCUGGCACCUAAGGUCAGAAAAGUGGAAAUCUGCCCAAAGACCUGUUCUGACCACAAUGCAGUAAAGAUGGAUAUGACACUACUACCAACUGGAUCCUUUAGAUGGAAGAUGAAUGACAAUUUGUUUAGAGAUCAGGAAAUUACCAAGAAGGCCCAAAAAGUUUUGAAGGACUAUUUUGAGAUAAACAUGAACAAUUCGGUGGAAAAAGAAUCGUCUGGGACGCAAGCAAAGCUGUAAUGAGGGGAUUCUUGAUACAACAGAAUGUAGUAAAGAAAAGAACACAAAAUGAGAAAAAAGAUAAGAUCUUGGAC
rnacentral:lncRNA from 1 species